GCCUCGCUGGUGGAAUGGUAGACACGAUGGAUUCAAAAUCCAUUGCCGCAAGGUGUGCCAGUUCGAGUCUGGCGCGAGGUA
rnacentral:tRNA from 1 species